rnacentral:tRNA from 1 species
GAAAUAGCUCAGUUGGCUAGAGCAUGGUGCUGAUAACGCCAGGGCUGCAGGUUCGAUUCCUGUGUGGGACA